GAUGAACGCUGGCUACAUGCUUAACACAUGCAAGUCGAGGGGAAACGCCGGGGAAGCUUGCUUCCCCCGGCUUCGACCGGCGCACGGGUGAGUAACGCGUAUCCCACCUGCCUCUGACUUAGCUAUAACCCGUCGAAAGUCGUCCUAAUACCUCAUGCUAUCUUCUGCGUGCAUCCUACGACGAUUAAAGAGUUCAUCGUGCAGUGAUGGGUAUGCGUCUGAUUAGCUUGUUGGCGGGGUAACGGCUCACCAAGGAUACGAUUAGUAGGGGUUCUGAGGGGAAGGUCCCCGAGAUUGGAACUGGGACACGGGCGAAACUCAUACGGGAGGGAGCAGUGAGGAAGAUAGGUCAAGGGGAGAGAGCCUGAACCAGCCAAGUAGCGUGCAGGAAGACGGCGUUAGGGGUGGUAAACUGCUUUUAUGCGGGGAUAAAGUGAGGGAAGUGUCCCUCAUUGCAGGUACCGGAUGAAUAAGGACCGGCUAAUUACGUG
rnacentral:rRNA from 1 species